rnacentral:misc_RNA from 1 species
CGAUCCAAACUUUCAGAAAGAAAUGAUAGCAAACGCAGAGAGGCCUGCAGGCUUCAGAAAUUUUUAUUUUCUUCUUUCGGCCUGCAGGAUUUUUGACGCAUGGCAGGUUUCUAUAAUUCCCUUGUUACAAUACAGCACGGCACGCUCCAUGAGUUGAGGGAUUGCGCAGAAAUGGGCAAACUAUAAUUCAGUGGUUCCUAUUCCAGAAAUGUAUCAUAACGG